rnacentral:rRNA from 1 species
GAUUCCGUAGAUGUUGUGACUUCGUCGCCAUGUUGUCCGGGAGAUUUUAGUCUGGUUGCUUCUGCCGGAAUGAGUGGCAGAUACUACGACUAAGCCGUGCCCGUCACCGUAGCUUUAAAUGUCAUACGGCUCACCAUCCUCCCCUCAACAUGGAUUUAAAAACGGGAUAACCUCGGGAAACUGAGGAUAAACCCCGCCCGGGCAUAAUGUUUGGGAUGAGAUAUGGGGUAAAACUACAUGGGCUCUGGAAUGGAAUGGCCCCCAAUUCGGUCGUUGUCGAGUAAGGGCCCCCCCAACCCAAUAACCGGAACGGGUCUUAAAGGAGAAACCCGAAUAUGGUCUCUGGCUCAAAGUCCAGUACCCUAUGCCUCUCCCCACUCUUUAUAAUUUCUUCUCCCGCGAACCUAACCGGUUAUUUUUGAGUUUUAACCGAUAACGAGAUCUUUUGGCACCUCUAAAAAUGGUGCACAAUAAUGGGUGGGCAAGCCUGGUGUCAGCCGCCGCGGUAAUACCAGUACCCCGAGUGGUCGGGACUAUUAUUGGGCCUCAAUUUUCGUAGUUGUUAUGCACUUCUUUUGUUAAAACCACUCGUUUAAAAUUGGCCUUAUAGAUUCAUUGGAGUUUUUUGGCGGAAAAGGCAGGGGUACGGUCGGGGCGGUGAAAUCCUGGAUUCUUUGGAUCCCCCUUGGAAUCGUAUUUGUAAGAUUCUUGACGUUAAUACACCUCAGGAGGAUCCCCGGUUUCCAUCGUAGUCCCCCUGUUUUACCAAACCGUGAUGAGAAUCUUCGUCUAGCCCAGCUUACUGCA